AAUAAAAUGCGUUAUUUUCUAAGCUUUCUGCCACAUUGAGGGGGACAAUUGAAUUGAGUAAUUAUUAUAGUCUAUAUUCCCACUUCCAAAACUUGUAGGGUAGGUAGAUAUGGCUUAGAGCAUAAAGAAGGAAUGAUUUUAUUACAUGAUCUUUGUAGUUUAUUUGCUUGUACUAAUAGCUCGCACAGUUGGGAAGUUCAAUGCCUUAUCAUAUGUUUAGUGCUGAAUUUUUCAUGUGUAACCAAUUUUAUACUCAAUUUAUUAUAUGUAAAACAAUGGAUGCAAGUAUUUUUUUUAUCUAAUAAUACAACGUCAGACCUUGAACAACAACCUGCUACUAUGUAUUUCUUCUUGUACACACACAUACUAUAUUGUUUAAGGAAGCCAUACUGGUGUUUCUCUAAGAUGUUGUGAUAUGUCCUCUCAAUUUAAUGGCAGCCGUUGAGUGGUUCUGUUUUUUUUUUCUGAAAAUCAGAUACCUUAAGCUUCGGAAGGGCCAUGCUGGUGGCAGUGACAUGGAAGAACCUUCAAUAGAUUCUGCAGCCAAAUAUGUUAUUCUUGAGGAGAUGGACGAACAAGAAGAUAUUAUCUGAAACCAUUAACCAGCAAACAUUUCAAAGCCAAACAAUGUUCUCUAGAGACCAAAGGGCACAUAAUCUUCCAGCGACUUGCCAGUUGUUUUGCCACAUUUCAUCAAGAGACGCAUGUUUAUGUUCCCUUUUGGAAUUGUGGUGUCCGAGUUUCUUUUGAAGUUUCAUUGAGUGAACAAUUCUUGGGAUAUAAUGCUUGGUGUAAAAAUAUGUACUCAAUCAGUGAAGAGAUUUUGACACUGCUUGGUGUCAAAGUUCUUUUGAAGUUUGUAAGCCAACAACUUUUUGGGAUAUAAUGCCUUUCUACGAUCAACAUCACUUAUUCUGUAAAAAUACGUACGCAAUCUGUUGAGAGAUUUAGACAUAUGUUGGCAGAACACGACAGAUUGUGAUUGAUCAAAUUUUAUCAUUUUUUCUUUCUAGUAUGAAAUUGUAUUUUGAUCAUAUUACCAUAAUUUUUGUUGUAUAUACUAAAUCCAGUUCAUUAUUUCUUAUCAACACAAAUUGGUCUUGAA